rnacentral:rRNA from 1 species
CGCACGCGCGCUACACUGAACGGAGCCAGCGAGUACUUCCUUGGCCGAAAGGCCCGGGUAAUCUUGUUAAACUCCGUCGUGCUGGGGAUAGAGCAUUGCAAUUAUUGCUCUUCAACGAGGAAUCCCUAGUAAGCGCAAGUCAUCAGCUUGCGUUGAUUACGUCCCUGCCCUUUGUACACACCGCCCGUCGCUACUACCGAUUGAAUGGCUCAGUGAGGCGUCCGGACUGGCCCAGGGAGGUGGGCAACUACCACCCAGGGCCGGAAAGCUCUCCAAACUCGGUCAUUUAGAGGAAGUAAAAGUCGUAACAAGGUCUCCGUUGGUGAACCAGCGGAGGGAUCAUUACCGAGUUAUUCAACUCAUCAACCCUGUGAACUUACCUAAACGUUGCUUCGGCGGGAAUAGACGGCCCCGUAAAACGGGCCGCCCCCGCCAGAGGACCCUUAACUCUGUUUCUUAUAGUGUUUCUUCUGAGUAAAACAAGCAAAUAAAUUAAAACUUUCAACAACGGAUCUCUUGGCUCUGGCAUCGAUGAAGAACGCAGCGAAAUGCGAUAAGUAAUGUGAAUUGCAGAAUUCAGUGAAUCAUCGAAUCUUUGAACGCACAUUGCGCCCGCCAGUAUUCUGGCGGGCAUGCCUGUUCGAGCGUCAUUACAACCCUCAGGCCCCCGGGCCUGGGGUUUGGGGAAU